CUCUGAGAAGCGUACUUUGGGAGAAGCAGUAGAAAGAGCCCAGGGUGCUGGAGCCUAGUCUCUAAAUAGCACAAGCUGGAGAUUUGCCAACCAAAGGACUAUCUACUGAAAGAGCAGUCAGAGAAAGCUGAUCAGAAAAUGCAUAAACUGUGCAGCUGGUAAGCUGAAAGCAUCACCCUCUAGUGGGGAAGUCAAAG
rnacentral:lncRNA from 1 species